rnacentral:tRNA from 1 species
GUGGACAUAGCUCAGUGGUAGAGCGCACACUUAGCAUACACAAGGUCCUGGGUUCAAUCCCCAGUACCUCCA